rnacentral:rRNA from 1 species
AACGAACGCUGGCGGCAUGCCUAACACAUGCAAGUCGAACGAGACCUUCGGGUCUAGUGGCGCACGGGUGCGUAACGCGUGGGAAUCUGCCCUUGGGUUCGGAAUAACAGUUAGAAAUGACUGCUAAUACCGGAUAAUGUCUUCGGACCAAAGAUUUAUCGCCCAGGGAUGAGCCCGCGUAGGAUUAGCUAGUUGGUGAGGUAAAGGCUCACCAAGGCGACGAUCCUUAGCUGGUCUGAGAGGAUGAUCAGCCACACUGGGACUGAGACACGGCCCAGACUCCUACGGGAGGCAGCAGUGGGGAAUUUUGGACAAUGGGCGCAAGCCUGAUCCAGCCAUGCCGCGUGCGGGAAGAAGGCCUUCGGUUGUAACCGACUUUGUCAGGGAAGAAACGACUCUGGGCUAAUACCCUAGGGUAAUGACGGUACCUGAAGAAUAAGACACCGGCUAACUACGUGCCAGCAGCCGCGGUAAU